ACCACGACUCUCGACAAUGGAUAUCUUCGGCUCUC
rnacentral:rRNA from 1 species